rnacentral:tRNA from 1 species
UGGACGUGCGUGAUCGUGCAGAGGAAGUUGGGAAAAGCAUUAGAGGAGGUGACGUACAAAGAAAAAAUGAG